CUAGGGGCUCAACCCUAGAAAAGCAAUGGAAACUACUAGACUAGAGUAUGGCAGGGGUAGAGGGAAUUUUCUAGUGUAGCGGUGAAAUGCGUAGAUAUUAGAAAGAACACCGGUGGCGAAAGCGCUCUACUGGACCAUUACUGACACUCAGAGGCGAAAGCUAGGGUAGCAAAAGGGAUUAGAUACCCCUGUAGUCCUAGCCGUAAACGAUGGAUACUACAUGUUGUGCAUUAUGUACAGUAUGGUAGCUAACGCGUUAAGUAUCCCGCCUGGGGAGUACGCUCGCAAGGGUGAAACUCAAAGGAAUUGACGGGGGCCCGCACAAGCGGUGGAGCAUGUGGUUUAAUUCGAUGCAACGCGAAGAACCUUACCAGGACUUGACAUACUACAAAUUCUUUUGAGAAAAAGAAGUGCCUUCGGGAAUGUAGAUACAGGUGGUGCAUGGCUGUCGUCAGCUCGUGUCGUGAGAUGUUGGGUUAAGUCCCGCAACGAGCGCAACCCUUAUUUUUAGUUACCAAUUCGUUGGGUUCUCUAGAAAGACUGCCGGUGACAAACCGGAGGAAGGUGAGGAUGACGUCAAGUCAGCAUGCCCCUUAUGUCCUGGGCUACACACGUGCUACAAUGGUUAAGACAAAGAGUCGCGAGCUCGUAAGAGUCAGCUAAUCUCAUAAACUUAGCCCAAGUUCAGAUUGUAGGCUGCAACUCGCCUGCAUGAAGUUGGAAUCGCUAGUAAUCGCUGGUCAGCCAUACAGCGGUGAAUCCGUUCCCGGGCCUUGUACACACCGCCCGUCACACCAUGGGAGCUGGUCAUACCCGAUACCGUUUGCUUAACCGUUUGGAGAGCGACGUCUAAGGUAGGGCUAGUGACUGGGGUGAAGUCGUAACCAAGGUAA
rnacentral:rRNA from 1 species